GAGGAUGUCAGCCGCGGGCGGCGUCCUGAGCGCAAAACGUGAACCCGAGUCGCCAAGUUUGGGCGCUGCUGGACGGUCCCAUCUGGAGGCCGUCCCGUGCCCCACUAAGUAGAGGAGAAACCGAAGAGAAUCCGAAGAAAGGAUGCUGCGGCCUGGACCACCAGCCCUAGAGGCUGAACCCAAGGACACCCCUCCACCUAGCCCCGACCCCAUUCACCCACACAGACGCACAGGGACCCAAAGCACCCGGCCGACCUGGAAAGUCAGCGAUUCCUGCGAGGGUGCAAGGGGCGAGGAAGAGGGAGCGUCCCCCAGGGCAGCCCCUCCGACACUCGAGCAAGGGCUGGAGACAGCGCAGGGGACGGUCGGCUCAGGUCGAAAGCGGCCCGACAGCGGCCCUGUCCUGGGAGGAACUCGACCUGCAGUGUGCCCGCCGCGGGGACUCGCUCAGCUCCGGGGGCGCCUCGCCACUCCCGGCCGCAGGCACUCAGGGAGGAACUGUCCAACUGUAACUGACAGAGGAGGCAGAAGUGCCUGCCAAGAAUGGAGGGUCUGGUCUGGGGACCAGCUGAAGGCUCAUCGGGCUCAUACUGCUGGCACCAGGGCUGUCGACCAGGGCACCUACUUGGGGGCUUCCCCACGCAGACUCCCUUCCUUGCUAGCUUUGAUAGACUCAGCGGCUAUGUUGGGAAGUCCUGCACAGGAGGAGCCCAAGGCUUGUGUCAGAGAAGGGGCUGCAGCUGCUACUGUGUUCUCUGGGCUCCUUGCAUUCAGAGCCCGGAGCUACCAAGUGGGAGUCAGACCACCUGAGCCCUCAUGUCGUGAGGAUGCCCUAGGGACUGUAUUAGUCAUCUGUAACUGUGUAACAAAUGACCACAGAUUUCAUGGUUUAAAACCACA
rnacentral:lncRNA from 1 species